rnacentral:rRNA from 1 species
CCUACGGGGGGCUGCAGUCGAGAAUCUUCGGCAAUGGGCGCAAGCCUGACCGAGCGACGCCGCGUGCGGGAUGAAGGCCUUCGGGUUGUAAACCGCUGUCAGAGGGGAGGAAAUGCAUGGGAGUUCUCUCUCGUGUUUGACCUAUCCUCAGAGGAAGUACGGGCUAAGUUCGUGCCAGCAGCCGCGGUAAUACGAACCGUGCGAACGUUAUUCGUAAUCCGUGGGCUUAAGGCUGGGAUAGUCGGGUGUGAAAUCCCUCGGCUCAACCGAGGAAUUGCGCCCAAAACUACCUGGCUUGAGGAAGAUAGAGGUAAGCGGAACUAAUGGUGGAGCGGUGAAAUGCGUUGAUAUCAUUAGGAACACCUGUGGCGAAAGCAGCUUACUGGGUCUUAUCUGACGCUGAGGCACGAAAGCUAGGGGAGCGAACGGGAUUAGAUACCCCUGUAGUC